CAAACUGGGAUUAGAUACCCACUAUGCUUAGCCCUAAACACAGAUAAUUACAUAAACAAAAUUAUUCGCCAGAGUACUACUAGCAACAGCUUAAAACUCAAAGGACUUGGCGGUGCUUUAUAUCCUUCUAGAGGAGCCUGUUCUAUAAUCGAUAAACCCCGAUAAACCUCACCAAUUCUUGCUAAUACAGUCUAUAUACCGCCAUCUUCAGCAAACCCUAAAAAGGAAAAAAAGUAAGCGUAAUUAUGAUACAUAAAAACGUUAGGUCAAGGUGUAACCUAUGAAAUGGGAAGAAAUGGGCUACAUUCUCUACACUAAGAGAAUCAAGCACGAAAGUUAUUAUGAAACCAAUAACCAAAGGAGGAUUUAGCAGUAAACUAAGAAUAGAGUGCUUAGUUGAAUUAGGCCAUGAAGCACGCACACACCGCCCGUCACCCUC
rnacentral:rRNA from 1 species